AGUGAACGCUGGCGGUAGGCCUAACACAUGCAAGUCGAACGGCAGCACAGGAGAGCUUGCUCUCUGGGUGGCGAGUGGCGGACGGGUGAGGAAUACAUCGGAAUCUACUUUUUCGUGGGGGAUAACGUAGGGAAACUUACGCUAAUACCGCAUACGACCUACGGGUGAAAGCAGGGGACCUUCGGGCCUUGCGCGAUUGAAUGAGCCGAUGUCGGAUUAGCUAGUUGGCGGGGUAAAGGCCCACCAAGGCGACGAUCCGUAGCUGGUCUGAGAGGAUGAUCAGCCAAGCGGGAACUGUGACACGGUCCAGACUCCUACGGGAGGCAGCAGUGGGGAAUAUUGGACAAUGGGCGCAAGCCUGAUCCAGCCAUACCGCGUGGGUGAAGAAGGCCUUCGGGUUGUAAAGCCCUUUUGUUGGGAAAGAGAUCCAGCUGGCUAAUACCCGGUUGGGAUGACGGUACCCAAAGAAUAAGCACCGGCUAACUUCGUGCCAGCCGCCGCAGUAA
rnacentral:rRNA from 1 species